rnacentral:rRNA from 1 species
AGAUUGAACGCUGGCGGGAUGCUUUACACAUGCAAGUCGAACGGCAGCGCGGACUUCGGUCUGGCGGCGAGUGGCGAACGGGUGAGUAAUAUAUCGGAACGUACCCAGUAGCGGGGGAUAACUACGCGAAAGCGUGGCUAAUACCGCAUACGCCCUACGGGGGGAAGGGGGGAUCGCAAGACCUCUCACUAUUGGAG